AUGAACAUAGGGAUAGAGAGGAGGGGCACUGUUUUAACGGCGAUUUGGCAUGUCAUAACAAUCUUGCUCGGAUCUGGAGUUCUAGCACUGGCGUGGUCCUUUGCCCAACUUGGCUGGGUAGCCGGGCCAAUCGUGCUUGUUAGCAUGGCUGCGUUAACAUACUUUACGUCGGCCCUGCUUGCGGAUUGUUACCGGUAUCCAGAUCCAGUGACAGGCACGGUGAAUCCGGAGUACAUCGAUGCUGUUCGAUGCUACCUUGGUCCACGAAAUGUGUUCUGGUGUGGGUUUAUUCAGUAUGCCAGCAUUUGGGCCACCCUUUUGGGCUAUACCAUAACCGCGAGUGACAGUGCGAGUGCGGUGCGUAAGGUUAAUUGCCUCCACCAUGGAGACGGGAGUAAAUGUGCCAGCAGUGACUACUUUGCCACUUACGCCAUCAUCGUAUUUGGAGCAGUCCAAAUUCUGCUGUCCCAACUGCCAAGCCUUCACAACAUCAGCUGGCUCUCCUUCUUUUCUGUCGCCACUUCAUGCAUAUAUUCCACGAUCAGCCUAGGGCUGUGUUUCGCGAAGUGGGCGACGCACAACAAAUCACACGGCACUGUUUUCGGGGCAGUGGCCGGAUCAGGUUUGGACAAGGCAACAAACGUGUUCCUUGCCGUUGGAAAUAUAGCAUUCACAUAUGCGUACGCCGACGUCCAGAUCGAAAUCCAGGAUACGCUUAAAGCACCCCCUGCAGAAAACAAAACCAUGAAGAAGGCCUCAUUGUACGGCCUUUCAAUUUCCACAGUCUUCUGCAUGCUGCUUGGGGUCUCUGGCUACGCAGCCUUCGGAAAUAGUGUAUCUGGAAACAUCCUGACUGGCACUGCUGUCCACGAGCCUUUUUGGCUAAUACAUUUGGCUAACAUUUGUGUUAUUCUCCAUUUUAUUGGAGCAUACCAGGUCUUCGCGCAGCCCAUUUUCGCCAGGAUGGAGACUUACGUAGCCCAUAUGUGGCCAGCCUCAUAUUUUGUAACCACUGGCUAUGAUCUUUAUGUGAUGGGCUGGCUCAUACGGCUAUCCUUCAUGAAACUGGUGCUACGUACAGGGAUAAUAAUUUUCACGACGCUGGUGGCAACGUUGAUGCCAUUCUUCAACCCAGUUUUAGGGUUAAUUGGAGCUGUUGGCUUUUGGCCGCUUUCGGUCUACUUCCCUGUAAGCAUGCACCUGACAAGGCUCAAGAUAGGGCGUAGGGAUUCGCGGUGGUGGCUGCUACAUACCUUGAGCAUGCUCUGCCUGGCGCUCUCCAUCUUCAUGGGCAGUGCGUCGGUUCUGGACAUAGUGACAAAGAUGAAAGGAGCCACAAUUUUCAAAACUGCCGACUAG
rnacentral:rRNA from 1 species